rnacentral:lncRNA from 1 species
AUGGAAAUCCCUUACUCUGUCAAUCACCAGCCAUGUGUCCAAGCCCAAAAAUAUGCCUCUGGAAUCAAUAUCAAGUCUUCCAUUUCUCCGGAUUUCAGGUAUCUCUUAAACCCAUCCCUUCCUCUCCCAUCCCCAGCGGCCCCCGUCCUGCUGGCAAGACCGGCUGCUUUUCCUCAUCACGUUGGAAAGUGCCGUUUGCACCUUAGCCCAGCAUCAGCACCUUCCCGCCAGAGGCAGCCUCCCCCUUUAUGCUCUGGCCAGGAGAACCUGACCACGGCCCGUCUGGGAACACCCCACUCCCCAUCAUGCCCUGUGAGCGCGGGUUCUUGUCUGGUGAGUCUGUUUUCAUCCCCGAGAGGCAGCCUGACCCUUCAGACGGCAGCCCAAACUUCAGUCACCUGGGAAGGCUUCCUACCUCCAUGGAGGCCAAGACCUCCCUUCCCACACCAGCCCUUGUUCCCCGGCACUUUGUGCAAAUGUCCGUUUGCUCCGCCGCCCUGCCUCGUGUCACUGUGGAUUUAUACCAUUUAUUCCUGGGUCUGUCUCUCGCCCCUUCACUGCUGCGGCCCUGGUGCCUGGUGAGGGCCCGGUACACAGUUUGUUACAUGAAUGAUGAAUGAAUAUGCAGCUCUGAAACAGGCCAACCACUUUGUCUUUCCCCGCCGAGGUAUGGAACAGGAAAGCCGGAGCCCCACUCACGGGUUCCAUCCCAGGUCGGCUGGGUUGAUGUAGAGGAUGCCGGCUCUGGAGACGGUGGCUGGGGUGGCCGUCCUCAGGUGGCUGAUUUCAAACAGCAGCCUCAUGGUGCGGUUCAGUGGGAUCCGCUCAUUGCUGGCCAGGGUGAGGACCUAGGAGGGGGACAGCAGCCCGUGGGGUCCUGCAGCGACACCUGACGUCCCAGUAGUGUUCCGGGGUGGGGGUCCUCAGAGCAAACCUCCAAACAAGGAGGAGAGGCUCAGGCCAGCUCUGCCACCCCUGGCCCGCAGCCCUAGUCCCUUGACCCAGGGCUUCUCUGCCCUCCCUGACUCCAGCAGCCUCUAGACACUCACACCGGGGAGGACUGCAGCGUGGAGUCACGGCUGCUUUCUCAAACCGUCACCCCUCCCCAUCCUGGAAAGUCUUGUGUUCCCUUCUGCAUCCAACUGAGGAGCAUUUUUAGAAAAAUGGCUUCUAGACAAUUCUAAAUAACCAUUUCUGCUCUCCAGGCCUUUACCCUGAACCCAUCCUGCUGCUAAAAUGUCAGGUGAGGUGCAUGCAGAACCACAGCACACGUGACCAAGUCCCGCGACAAGGCGCCCCUCACUCAUAGCUCCCUGUGGAGCUCCAGACACGCCCCCUGCCCCAAGCCCUGCAUGCAGGGCCUGAGUGCUGCAUAGGCGCCUCUCUGUGAGCCCCCGUUGUCCCUGCCUUGGGUGACCUCGGGGGUUAGAGUCCAGGGCCCGCGAACCUUAUUGUCAUCCAUGACGGUGUUGAGAGACUCGAUCCACAUGGGGUCUAUGUCCCCGUCAAGGAUGAUCCACUUGGGGCCAUCAUGGGUGAUGUUGGCCAGGUCUCUCAUGAUGGUGGAGAACAGGCCUGGGGGAGGUGGGUGGUGUAACCCUGGGCCCUUCGCUCUGGCCCCAUUCCAGUCCCCACCGGUCCUGACCCUGGCCUCUCUCUCGGAGGUGGCCUGUCCCCUACUUCAGAGGGAUAGCAGAGGCCCUCGGGCAUGAGGUGCCCGGGCUCCCUGCCCUCCCUUCUCUGUGGCCUCGCUUCUACAUGCCCUCUCCAUGCCUGAGGCUCUGCCUGCCCUCCUCCGACCCUGUGCCCUCCCUGUUAGCCCCUCUUUGCAGCCCUGGCUGGUUCAGUUUUUCCAGGCUCAACACCCCACGGGGCGCAGCACCUGUGCACCCAGCUCUGUCCAUCUGUCCACUCAUGCUCAGCAGGUCUGUGGAGCACGCGUCAUGCGUCAGGCAUGGAAUGGGGUGAGGUGGGGGCUGGGGGUACAGAGCUUGCCUUCUAGCAGGGGAAGUGAACUGUACAUGCAGAAGGCAGCGAAGGGGCACAGGGAAAGCGGGUUAGGGGUAGGGCCACUUCUGAUGGGUAGGGUGCGGGGGACAGGCUAGGCAGAGCCCUCGCCUAGGCUCCUGGUCAGGACCACCCCGCUCCCGCUGACACCUCCUCAGCUCUCACAGCUCCUUUCUGCAGCCCACUCUCCAACAUCCCGAGUUCCUUUCAUAAAGUGCAAACCUGGGCAUGCCACUUCCCAGGAGAAGCUCCUCCCCAGACUGAGGCAAGGGCUCCCUGGGCAUGAGGCAAGGGCUCCCUGGGCAGCCUCCAGCCUGCACAUCUGGGCUCCCAUGCACUCCGCAUGGGUCACACCCAUCCUUGCUCUGGCCUCUCCCCUUGGCCUGCCCAGGGCAGGCCUGCAGUCCUCACUGUCCCAGCUCCUGUGGCCCCCAUCCCUUACCCCUCAGCCCAGGUGCCACAUGCCCACUGCUCCCCAUAAACUGUCACCAUGGUGCCACCAUUGCAGGCCAUGUGCCUGUGCACUCCACCCUAGCCUGGGGAGGCUGGCCUUGCAUGUGGGAAUGGCUCAGCACACACUCACUGCACUGGACUGGGUGAGCCGCUGCAGCCCGUCCCGGGACCACCCUUGUUACCAUCUUUCCAUUCCCUGGUUGCUGGGUUGAUGAUGCCAAAGAGCUCGUCGCAGGUGACGGCCUUGGGGUCCAGGUCCACGGCGACCGGCUUCCUCUUCAGGUUCUGAUAGGUCUUGUUGAGGGAUUUGAGGACCUGGCGAAGGUGUGGGUCACUCACGUGUGACUCCAUGUUCCUGGCACAUCCUGCCCCACUAACCCCAGGACCGUGGGUGGGCCUAGAUGCCUUUUUUUUUUUCUUUUUUUUUUUUUUCCCUGAGAUGGAGUUUCACUCUUGUCAUCCAGGCUGGAGUGCAAUGGUGUGAUCUCAGCUCACUGCAACCUCUGCCUCAGGGUUCAAGUGAUUCUCCUGCCUCAGCCUCCCGAGUAGAUGGGAUUACAGGCGCCUGCCACCAUGUACAACUAAUUUUUGUAUUUUUAGUAGAGACGGGGUUUCGCCAUGUUGGCCAGGCUGGUCUUGAACUCUUGACCUCAGGCGAUCAGCCUGCUUUGGUCUCCCAAAGUGUUGUGAUUACAGGUGUGAGCCACUGCGCCCGGCCCUGGAUGCUUUUUAUGAACCACGAGGCUGAACCCUUCUCUGGAUCAGGUUUGCUUUGGGGGCACGUAGGUGAGUUCACACCCCCCAACCAUGACCGAGGUGAAGGUGGCCUGGGUGACGGGAAGCCAACUGUCCCCUGUGUCUGCAGCCUGCGGAGAGCUGCUUGCCCUAGACUGUGCAAGGCUCUGAAAACACGCACAUUACUUCCUUCCUUAUGGUACAAGUAAUACGCACACACUGAAAAACCAUCUAGGAAAACUCCCCAUAAUCCUCCAUUCAGGGAAAAUGAGCUUUAAAGACGCAGUUGAGGACAUUUCCUAUAUGUGUAUGUCUGAGUUCCUUUUUAGGAAACUGGGUUCAUGCAGCCUCUGCCUUUUAAAACAUCGCUUGUGGUGAGCUUUCCCGUGUGGCUGGCAUUGGGAGUGCUCUUAAACAAUAGUAGAAGAGCCCAGCCUGUGGGCCUGUGGCUGGACACUUGGCUGGCAUGGAAUUUUCCACGUCACAGACAUCAGUCACAUCCGCCACCACCCUCCGCAUGUCACCACACUCCAGGCCAUGGCAGGGGACAGGAGGGCGAUGGGUCAGGCUGGCCACAGGGACAGGGAGACAAGUGACUGACGUCAAGGAGAGAAGAGCAGGAAGACAAGGAGGAACAGGGAGGGAGGCCUCACCCAGGGAUCAGGGACCAGGGGCUGUGGCCACUCCUCCCCUCCUCCUCAGCCUCCAGCUUCCUCCCUGGCCCAUGACUCAGGCCGGAGAGCUCCCGGGAUGUACUGCGUUGGGGUCUCUGGGGUGGUGGGGAGUGAUGGAGGGCUGACCCUUCGCCCCAGCCCUCCCCCACCAUGCCAGAUCCCUGCAGGGUCCCUGCAGGGGCGACGCACCUGAGAUUUGCCGCUGCCCGCGUUCCCGAUGACGAACACCGAAUGGCGGACCUGCAGCAGCUCCUCCAGCUGCACCACCUUCAGCACAAAGCUGUCCUCCGCCUGUAGCUUGAGCUCCACGAUGCUCUGCUUGAUGAUCUGGGGAGACACGGAUGAGGCUGGGUGAGGAACUGAAGCAGCCUUUCUGCUCACUGGGAGGCUGGGGGCUUCUUGCCCUCUGGCAGGCGGCCUUGCUCUCCAACGCACAUGCCUUUGCAAGUUCUGCUGUCCAUGUUGAGAGCUCACAUAGCUCCACUGCGACCUUGUGCAGGGGAUCGGUUUGCUCGAAGUCCCCCAACCCCCGCUGAGAGACUGACCUCCCCCAGCACGGAGAGAGUGGGGCUGGCCAGGGCCACAGAGACAGCUGUGGCUCAGAGGUCUCUCUGUAGCACCGGGAAACGUGUGUGUGACACGGGUCCCCACCCGUCCAACAUCAGCGGGAAGGAAGCCCCAGCCAGGCAGGCUUCCCCAGACAGACCCGAGGUCCAGGAGUACCAACCUUUUCAAAAUUCAGGUCUCGUUUCCGAGGCACGUCCAGAGCCGGGAAGAGGUCCCCGAUCAGUCCCAUGAACACGGGCAGGUCGUCGGUCACGAUCUUGGGGAUGUUGAAGUCCCUCAGCGCCCGCAUGAGCACCUGGUCCUCCGCCCGGCUGGGGUCGCCCCUCUUCAGGGAGCCGGCCACCACCAGCACAGACUUGAUGGCUC